rnacentral:rRNA from 1 species
GACGAACGCUGGCGGCGUGCCUAAUACAUGCAAGUCGAACGAGAGCGACCGGUGCUUGCACUGGUCAAUCUAGUGGCGAACGGGUGAGUAACACGUGGGUAACCUGCGCAUCAGAGGGGGAUAACAUCCGGAAACGGAUGCUAAAACCGCAUAGGUCUUCGAGCCGCAUGGCUUGAAGAGGAAAAGAGGCGCAAGCUUCUGCUGAUGGAUGGACCCGCGGUGCAUUAGCUAGUUGGUGAGGUAACGGCUCACCAAGGCCGUGAUGCAUAGCCGACCUGAGAGGGUGAUCGGCCACAUUGGGACUGAGACACGGCCCAAACUCCUACGGGAGGCAGCAGUAGGGAAUCUUCCGCAAUGGACGCAAGUCUGACGGAGCAACGCCGCGUGAGUGAAGAAGGUUUUCGGAUCGUAAAACUCUGUUGUUAGAGAAGAACAAGUGCUAGAGUAACUGUUAGCGCCUUGACGGUAUCUAACCAGAAAGCCACGGCUAACUACGUG